UUUUCCUACGGGGGGCAGCAGUGAGGAAUAUUGGUCAAUGGCCGGAAGGCUGAACCAGCCAAGCCGCGUGAAGGACGAAGGUGCCAAGCAUUGUAAACUUCUUUUGUCAAGGGACAAAAUCAGGCUCGAGAGCCUGACCGAGGGUACUUGAAGAAAAAGCAUCGGCUAACUCCGUGCCAGCAGCCGCGGUAAUACGGAGGAUGCGAGCGUUAUCCGGAUUUAUUGGGUUUAAAGGGUGCGCAGGCGGGCUGUUAAGCCGGCGGUAAAAAUUCAGGGCUCAACCCUGUCGAGCCGUCGG
rnacentral:rRNA from 1 species